AGAUUGAACGCUGGCGGCAUGCCUUACACAUGCAAGUCGAACGGUAGAGUAGCAAUACUCGAGAGUGGCGAACGGGUGAGUAAUAUAUCGGAACGUGCCCAGUCGUGGGGGAUAACGUAGAGAAAUUUACGCUAAUACCGCAUACGAUCUACGGAUGAAAGCGGGGGACUCGCAAGAGCCUCGCGCGAUUGGAGCGGCUGAGAUCAGAUUAGGUUGUCGGUGAGGUAAAAGCUCACCAAGCCGACGACCUGUAGCUGGUUUGAGAGAACGACCAGCCACACUGGGACUGAGACACGGCCCAGACUCCUACGGGAGGCAGCAGUGGGAAUUUGGACAAUGGGCGCAAGCCUGAUCCAGCAAUGCCGCGUGCAGGAAGAAGGCCUUCGGUUGUAAACUGCUUUUGUACGGUAACGAAACGGUACCUAGGUUAAUACCUGGGCUAAGUCGUACGGUACCGUAAGAAUAAGUACACCGGACUAACUACGUACGUACCAGCAGCCGA
rnacentral:rRNA from 1 species